GGGGUUGUGGCUUAGUGGCAGAGCGCUUGCCUCACAUAUAUGAGGCACUGAGUUUGAUCCUCAGCACCACA
rnacentral:tRNA from 1 species